rnacentral:rRNA from 1 species
AUUGAACGCUGGCGGCAUGCUUUACACAUGCAAGUCGAACGGCAGCGCGGGCUUCGGCCUGGCGGCGAGUGGCGAACGGGUGAGUAAUACAUCGGAACGUGCCCAGUAGUGGGGGAUAGCUCGGCGAAAGCCGGAUUAAUACCGCAUACGACCUGAGGGUGAAAGCGGGGGACCUUCGGACCUCGCGCUAUUGGAGCGGCCGAUGGCAGAUUAGCUAGUUGGUGGGGUAAAGGCCUACCAAGGCGACGAUCUGUAGCUGGUCUGAGAGGACGACCAGCCACACUGGGACUGAGACACGGCCCAGACUCCUACGGGAGGCAGCAGUGGGGAAUUUUGGACAAUGGGCGAAAGCCUGAUCCAGCAAUGCCGCGUGUGUGAUGAAGGCCUUCGGGUUGUAAAGCACUUUUGGCGGGAACGAAAAGGACUGUGCCAAUACCACGGUCCGAUGACGGUACCCGCAGAAUAAGCACCGGCUAACUACGUG